rnacentral:rRNA from 1 species
UACGUAGGUGGCAAGCGUUUGUCCGGAAUUAUUUGGGCGUAAAGCGCGCGCAGGCGGCUUCUUAAGUCUGAUGUGAAAUCUCGGGGCUCAACCCCGAGCGGCCAUUGGAAACUGGGAAGCUUGAGUACAGAAGAGGAGAGUGGAAUUCCACGUGUAGCGGUGAAAUGCGUAGAUAUGUGGAGGAGCACCAGUGGCGAAGGCGACUCUCUGGUCUGUAACUGACGCUGAGGCGCGAAAGCGUGGGGAGCAAACAGG